UACGAAGGGGGCUAGCGUUGCUCGGAAUCACUGGGCGUAAAGCGCACGUAGGCGGCUUUCUAAGUCAGGGGUGAAAUCCUGGAGCUCAACUCCAGAACUGCCUUUGAUACUGGAGAGCUUGAGUCCGGGAGAGGUGAGUGGAACUCCGAGUGUAGAGGUGAAAUUCGUAGAUAUCAAGCAGAACACCUGCGGCGAAGGCGGCCUUCUGGACGAUGACUGACGCUGAGACGCGAAAGCGUGGGGAGCAAACAGG
rnacentral:rRNA from 1 species